GUGGGGAAUCUUAGACAAUGGGGGAAACCCUGAUCUAGCCAUGCCGCGUGAUCGAUGAAGGCCUUAGGGUUGUAAAGAUCUUUCAGCUGGGAAGAUAAUGACGGUACCAGCAGAAGAAGCCCCGGCUAACUCCGUGCCAGCAGCCGCGGUAAUACGGAGGGGGCUAGCGUUGUUCGGAAUUACUGGGCGUAAAGCGCACGUAGGCGGAUUGGAAAGUUGGGGGUGAAAUCCCGGGGCUCAACCCCGGAACUGCCUUCAAAACUCCCAGUCUUGAGGUCGAGAGAGGUGAGUGGAAUUCCGAGUGUAGAGGUGAAAUUCGUAGAUAUUCGGAGGAACACCAGUGGCGAAGGCGGCUCACUGGCUCGAUACUGACGCUGAGGUGCGAAAGCGUGGGGAGCAAACAGGAUUAGAUACCCCGGUAGUCC
rnacentral:rRNA from 1 species